UCGGCUCCGCGCCCCCCGAUCGCUCUUGUGCGGGAUCCCCCACGCUGGCCGGGGGAUGGCCCGCGGUGCCGGACUCCGGCCUGGCCCUGGCCCCCAGAGCGCAGCGGGAAGCGGUCGUUUGGUCCCAGACAUCGGCGUUCGGUCUGAUUAGCUUCCGCGGCUGACCGGGGCCGGCGGCGGGUCGUCCCCGGCCGGAGGAUGCUGCUGCCGGGAACAGGAGGGGACGUGGAGGCCCCGGGCGUGCCGGAGUCACGGCAGGCCGGAGGCGGGGGUUCCGGCCCCCUUGCUGCCCCCAGCCCUGGCGCGGCUUUCCCGGGGGUCGAAGCCUCCGCGCCGUAGAGGCUUCGCCCUGUUGCUCUCGGCAGCUCGCGAGGUUUACCGCCGGCCGCUCUCCCACGGGGCCCGGACGUUUCCAGGAAUUGCAAGAAAAAUCCUGGAGAAAAAGCCGUGUUGUCACCAGAGUGCCGGUCAUCUGAGAGAGGGGAAAUUCCUUGGAAAUGGCCUUAUCGCAGACCUCGGAGUUAAAAACCGGGGAAAAAACAGAGAAAAUGCUACGCUUUGAAUACUUCAUUUAAAUACGAAAUAGGACAACUCACACUCCUCGACAGCCUUCCAGAAAGGAGCAGGAAGACUGUCUUAACUGGGAAGUAUAAUCUAUCUGGGAUCAGAAAAGGAACAACGUUUCUUUAAGGGAAGUGUCACUUCCAGAUGCAAAAAAGGAAACAGCUGCCUGCUUCAGACAUCAAAUAGGAGCUACACCCAUCCAGAAAUGAGAUCAAUUUUGGACUAUGAAACUCAAAAUGUGUCUUUCAAAUUGGAAUGGCUGCUCUGCCUGAGCAGGGGGAUAGUCACUGCAGUUAACAAAGGCAUCUUAAUUGCUUCUUCUCCUCCAGAAAAAAGUAUUAAUUAGUGGAAGAAUGGGAUAUCUUCAUUAUGUGUGAGAUAGUUGCAGAGCUUUGGAUCUCUCCCUAUUUUAAAGACUAAGAAGUACUUGAAUAUCAUAGAUAUUUGUUGCACCCUAUUUUAGACGAAAGUGUGUCAGCUUUCAGAAAAUCUUGCCCUUAAGUCCUUACACCUCUCCACGUAUAUUUACAGCAAAAGGAAUUUGAAAAGGUUGGGAACUGUAUAUCCUGAACACUGUAGCUCUAUAAAUAUGAUGGCAAUGAUACUGCCCAAUGGAAUGAACAACACGUAAAGACAUUUUAAAGCAUUGUUUUAAACAUUAUUCACCUGGACAUCCUUUAUUACUAUCUCUACAUCUCACUGAACAGUUACGGUGUUGGGUGGACUUACGAAUCCACAUGCAUAAGCAAGGGGAUGUCUCUCCAUCAUUAAAAUUCUCAUUUUCAUCCCUUCUCUCACGCCGCUGAUAUGGUAAACACAAGCAAGUGUAAUCUUCUAUGAAAGUGUCUUUCCUUGAAAGGAUCUUUUUCCUUUUUAAGACAAGCAAACCAGACAUUUUUGUGGGUGCUGGGGGUAGAAGUGGAGACUUAAGCUUAACAUAUAGGAUAAAUAUAGAAGAAGUAGAGAAAAGAGAAAGUAUCUGGCGCGUGGUUACAACUUAGGCUAAAUAAAUUCCAGUGGUUACUCAAACUAAAAGUUUUGGGGUUUGUUUUUUUUUUUGGUGGGUUGUUUUGUUUUGUUUUUAUGAUAGCAAACUAAACAGACUGUCAUCGAAUCUGAGAGCGCCUUUGAUGCAGAGGCCGUGCUGAGACUGAAGAGGAAACCCAUAAAUGAAAUAAAGUCUCUGGGAAAUUG